GACGAACGCUGGCGGCGUGCUUAACACAUGCAAGUCGAACGAAGAGCGAUGGAAGCUUGCUUCUAUCAAUCUUAGUGGCGAACGGGUGAGUAACGCGUAAUCAACCUGCCCUUCAGAGGGGGACAACAGUUGGAAACGACUGCUAAUACCGCAUACGAUCCAAUCUCGGCAUCGGGACUGGAUGAAAGGUGGCCUCAAUUUAUAAGCUAUCACUGAAGGAGGGGAUUGCGUCUGAUUAGCUAGUUGGAGGGGUAACGGCCCACCAAGGCGAUGAUCAGUAGCCGGUCUGAGAGGAUGAACGGCCACAUUGGGACUGAGACACGGCCCAGACUCCUACGGGAGGCAGCAGUGGGGAAUCUUCCGCAAUGGACGAAAGUCUGACGGAGCAACGCCGCGUGAGUGAUGACGGCCUUCGGGUUGUAAAGCUCUGUUAAUCGGGACGAAUGGUUCUUGUGCGAAUAGUGCGAGGAUUUGACGGUACCGGAAUAGAAAGCCACGGCUAACUACGUG
rnacentral:rRNA from 1 species